UACCCACACAGGCUUCAUAGCAGGAGGCAACCAUGUUUAUCGAUGUCGUAGUUCUCGCCGGUAUCGGCACCGUCGGUCUGAUGGUCGCCUUCUUCGCCGGUGUCGGUUAUUUCAUCUGGCAGGAUUCGCACAAGCGCAAGCAGGGCUGAUUCUGCUGGGAAGGAUCGAUUCAAGGCCCGUGCAGCAGGCUUUGAAUCGGUUCGAAGGGGCACGCAAGGCAAUUUGGGCGACUUAGGUCGCCCUUUUUUAUG
rnacentral:sRNA from 1 species